rnacentral:lncRNA from 1 species
UUGCAUUUGUCUUAUCAUAAUAUUAUUAUUGAAUAGAAAUUAUAACACGAUAAACUUAAUCUCAUAUUCAAAUAAUACAUAUGAAAUGUUCCUUACUAUGGAGGAGCACAUGAUGUGGUAUCACUAUGAUAAUAAUCAUAAAACCUCUUAGAGUCACAAUAAAAAUCUACUUCUCCGUCUCUACAUCUUCUUUCAAACUCCGACGGAGGAGUAUGAUCGUGAAAGUCUAUUGAUACUAAUAAAUAGUCAACACAUUCCCAAACACAAUCUUCUUCUACUGAUGGAGGGUAUGUUUUACACUUUGCUAAUGUCAUACUAGUCAUACACAUUAUGAAGAAAAACAUACAAGUCAGCUCUAAUAUCCUCAUCUGCAUACCAGACAUCCUCGUGUUUGUAUUUCCUGCAAAGAUAUAUAAUUACCCAAUAACGUUAAAAGUUUUAUAAGCACCUUUUCAGAAUUUGUAUAAACUAGAAUAUUACCACAUCAAUGUAGAUAUUCAAGAAAUCCUCUCAAAUAUAAAUAAUCCACACGUAAGCACGUGGACUAGCUUAAUUUUUGUUCUUAAUAUAAAUGUCGCUGUUGCUCUCAUUUUAUAUACAACUUACACGUUAGAAUACGUGAUGUGGCAAUUUUGCUAUUGAAAUUGCAAUGGGCAGCGUUUCAAAUACUGUUAUUGUAUAUGAACUGAAAAGACCGAUUAGAAGACAUUUUUAACCUAAAAUAUUCAAGUGUAUGGAAAUGGAGAUUGUUCCAAAUAUAGAAGCACUGUAUUAAGAACAAACACAAACAAACUAAUAAAUAAAAGGAGAAUAUAUAAAAUAUUCUUGCUUACCCCUUUCUUUUGAUAUCACAACAA